AUGAGGCUUCAACGUCGGCGCAGGUUGUUAUGGCUGGUGUGUGUUGUUGUAAUUGCAGUUUUGGAUGUGUUGAGUGUCAGUGUUGGUGGUGGAUUUCGAAAAAGUUUUUGUGUAUUGAGCAGAGUUUUGAGGAAUGGUUUUGUGAAGAUUUUCAAGUUUGUCUCUGCUCCCUUCUUACAGUUUUUGUUAUUUGAGCAGAGUUUAGCAAGGAUUUUGGGUGAGUUGGACAAGGGUUUGCGGUUCAGCACAGAUGAGUGGGGUUUGGGUUCUGAGGAAAUUUUGUAG